UGGGGAAUAUUGGACAAUGGGCGAAAGCCUGAUCCAGCCAUGCCGCGUGUGUGAAGAAGGUCUUCGGAUUGUAAAGCACUUUAAGUUGGGAGGAAGGGCAGUAAGCGAAUACCUUGCUGUUUUGACGUUACAGACAGAAUAAGCACCGGCUAACUCUGUGCCAGCAGCCGCGGUAAUACAGAGGGUGCAAGCGUUAAUCGGAAUUACUGGGCGUAAAGCGCGCGUAGGUGGUUCGUUAAGUUGAAUGUGAAAGCCCCGGGCUCAACCUGGGAACUGCAUCCAAAACUGGCGAGCUAGAGUAGGGCAGAGGGUGGUGGAAUUUCCUGUGUAGCGGUGAAAUGCGUAGAUAUAGGAAGGAACACCAGUGGCGAAGGCGACCACCUGGGCUCAUACUGACACUGAGGUGCGAAAGCGUGGGGAGCAAACAGG
rnacentral:rRNA from 1 species